rnacentral:rRNA from 1 species
CAGGUGGAUACUUAAUGCUUUCGCUCAGACGCUGACUGUGUAUAGCCAACAACGAGUGAUCAUAGUUUACAGCGUGGACUACCAGGGUAUCUAAUCCUGUUUGCUCCCCACGCUUUCGUGCCUGAGCGUCAGUUUCAACUUAGUGAGCUGCCUUCGCAAUCGGUGUUCUGUGGCAUAUCUAAGCAUUUCACCGCUACAUGAUACAUUCCGCCCACUUCAACUGUACUCAAGAUUGACAGUAUCAAUGGCAAUUCCCCAGUUGAGCCGGGGGAUUUCACCACUGACUUACCAAUCCGCCUGCGCACCCUUUAAACCCAAUAAAUCCGGAUAACGCUUGCAUCCUCCGUAUUACCGCGGCUGCUGGCACGGAGUUAGCCGAUGCUUAUUCUCAUGGUACCGUCAAUUCCGCACACGUGCGAAAGUUUCUUCCCAUACAAAAGCAGUUUACAACCCGUAGGGCCGUCAUCCUGCACGCGGCAUGGCUGGGUCAGACUUGCGUCCAUUGCCCAAUAUUCCUCACUGCUGCCUCCCGUA